CAAUAGCGUAUAUUUAAGUUGCUGCAGUUAAAAAGCUCGUAGUUGGAUUUCGGGUGGGAAUGGCCGGUCCGCCGUUUCGGUGUGCACUUGCUACGCCCACCUUGCUGCCGGGGACGUGCUCUUGAGUUCACGCUCGGGACACGGAGUCGGCGAGGUUACUUUGAGUAAAUUAGAGUGUUCAAAGCAGGCCUACGCUCUGAAUACAUUAGCAUGGAAUAACACGAUAGGACUCUGGCCUAUCUUGUUGUUCUGUAGGACCGGAGUAAUGAUUAAGAGGGACAGUCGGGGGCAUUCGUAUUUCAUUGUCAGAGGUGAAAUUCUUGGAUUUAUGAAAGACGAACUACUGCGAAAGCAUUUGCCAAGGAUGUUUUCAUUAA
rnacentral:rRNA from 1 species